rnacentral:misc_RNA from 1 species
UAGUGCAGCCUGGAAACCACAGUUAAUUACGAUAACGGGAAAAAUUGAGGGUGUGACUUAUGUAGAGGAUAUGCUUGCGCCACAACAGACUCAAAUUCUCUACCGGUAAGUUACCAAAAUCUUUGCUUUUGGGUGAUGAUCAGACUGUGGCCAUUUUGUGCUCGUCCGGUACCACUGGACGGCCCAAAGCUGUUUGCAUUGCAAACCAUAUGUUGUAUGCUGGCAUGCCGUGCGUUAACACCGACACGGUCAUCUAUUGUGGUUCGAGCUUGGACUGGUUCAGUGGCCUUUUCACCUUCAUUUACUCCGUUGCUGAAGGCUGUACACUGUUUUGAACUAGAACAACGCGGAUGGUUGCCAAGUUCAAGCAGCUAAGUGAAGGCGUCUACUUCACAGAUGAGUUGCCCUAAAGCGCUAACGGUAAGCUGCUCCAUCGAGUAGUCAAAGAGAAAGUGAUUAAGCCAUAUGUGGAUCGUUAAAUGAGUUUGUGGUAAUAAGUCUGGGUUUUG